AGUGGCGAAAGGGUGAGUAACGCGUGGGCAACCUGCCCAGUACCGGGGAAUAACAGCGGGAAACCGUUGCUAAUACCGCAUAACAUCUUGACAUCCAAAGGAGCAGUACUGGAUGGGCCCGCGUCCGAUUAGCUAGUUGGUGGGGUAACGGCCUACCAAGGCGACGAUCGGUAGCCGAACUGAGAGGUUGAUCGGCCACAUUGGGACUGAGACACGGCCCAGACUCCUACGGGAGGCAGCAGUGGGGAAUAUUGCACAAUGGACGAAAGUCUGAUGCAGCAACGCCGCGUGAAGGAAGAAGGUCUUCGGAUUGUAAACUUCUUUGAUCAGGGAAGAAUGACAGUACCUGAAGAACAAGCCACGGCUAACUACGUGCCAGCAGCCGCGGUAAUACGUAGGUGGCGAGCGUUGUCCGGAAUUACUGGGUGUUAAGGGCGCGUAGGCGGGAAUGCAAGUCAGAUGUGAAAUACCAAGGCUUAACUUUGGAACUGCAUCU
rnacentral:rRNA from 1 species